CGUCCGAUGCGUUCCCUUCUCUCUCAACCCUAACCUGCUCCUUCUCUCCUCGAGCCGCCGCCCGCCUUGCUGCUGCCACCUGCGCUUCGCCGUCCGGCGGCCGCCGCCCCGGCCGAGGAGCUCCACCGCCGGGCCCUGCGGCCGCGCGCCUCCGGUGGCGCUGCGGCCGCGUCACUGCCCCCGCCCCCACUCCUCCCCCGAUGCGCUGACGGAGCACGACGUGAGCAAGGAGGUCGGUCCUACUGCCACUGGUUUGGGCAGUAUUGUCCAAAUAUUUAAUUAGUGGUGACUUUGGCAACGGUCUGGGCGCGUUCGGCUCACCAGUUUUUGAAGUAGAUGGCUGGGUGGUAGGCAUCAGCAUCUCUGGUGUUCAAGAUAUGACAUAUGUUCUUUCAGUGGGGUGGAUAUGGGAGACACUGCUGAAGGCCGGGUGCAGGAUCAUCUGGAGGUAAAGGGUCGGGUGCACUACGGUGAUUGAUGAAGAAGCUGGAGGUGCGAUGGCCAACUUAAAGCUAUAAGAUGCGAGCAACUCGACGAGAUCAGGGAAAGCUCAAGAACGUGUGUGGUGAGCACAAACUGAUUGCUUCAAUUAAUUCAGGAAGCGGCAGCGGCAGCUAGCGGCAGUUCCUGGCCACACGUGUCUACGCCGGCGGGUUUCAACUAUUCCGACCUUGGAGACUGCUGCACCUCCCUAGUUGGUUUUACCUUACUCUGCUGCAUUCGUUUGUUUCACUAGGAACUCAUUUACUUUGUUUCGCUGAAAGUAAAAGGUGUGCAUAGCAUGCACGUCUGCUCUGCCAGUUCGACUGGAUGUAAAAGGUGUCUCUCGUCUCUGUGAGCGAGGCUGCCGACAGAUGUUAGGCAUCUAGGUCCCGUUUUCUUCGACUGACUUAUUUUUAGCACCCGUCA